AUGGAGGCCGAAAACAGCGAGGUGGCUGCUCUGGUCGAGAAGAUCACCGGCUUCCACGCCGCCAUCUCCAAGCUCCCGUCGCUAAGCCCGUCCCCUCAAGUCGACGCGCUCUUCACCGAGCUGGUCGCGGCGUGCGUCCCGUCGAGCCCGGUGGACGUGACCAAGCUCGGCCCGGAGGCGCAGGAGAUGCGGCAGGACCUCAUCCGCCUGUGCUCAACCGCCGAGGGGCUGCUCGAGGCGCACUACUCCGACAUGCUCACCGCCUUGGACAGCCCGCUCGACCACCUCGGCCGCUUCCCUUACUUUGACAACUACAUCAACCUGAGCAAGCUCGAGAACGACCUUCUGGCCGGUCACAUGGCGGCUCCGGCCCGCGUGGCGUUCAUCGGGUCAGGGCCGCUGCCGUUCAGCUCGCUCUUCCUCGCGACAUACCACCUGCCGGACACCCGCUUCGACAACUACGACCGGUGCAGCGUGGCCAAUGGCCGGGCGAUGAAGCUGGUCGGCGCGGCGGAUGUGGACGUGCGCUCGCGCAUGCCGUUCCACACGGCCGAAGUCGCGGACCUCACGUCUGAGCUCGGCGCGUACGACGUGGUUUUCCUGGCGGCGCUCGUGGGGAUGACGUCCGAGGAGAAGGCCAACACCAUCGCGCACUUGGGGAAGCACAUGGCAGAUGGGGCGGUGCUCGUCGCGCGAAGCGCGCACGGGGCGCGAGCGUUCCUCUAUCCUGUAGUGGAGCUGGACGAUAUCGGGCGUGGCGGGUUCCAAGUGCUGGCCGUGCACCACCCUGCAGGUGAUGAGGUGUUCAACUCAUUCAUUGUUGCACAGAAGGUGAAGAUAUGA
rnacentral:rRNA from 1 species